GGGGCCCUAGCUCAAGUGGUUAGAGCAGCGGUCUCAUAAACCGCCGGUUCUCGGUUCGAGCCCGGGGGGCCCCA
rnacentral:tRNA from 1 species